CCUACGGGAGGCAGCAGUGGGGGAUAUUGCACAAUGGGGGAAACCCUGAUGCAGCGACGCCGCGUGUGGGAAGACGGUCCUCUGGAUUGUAAACCACGGUCACCAGGGACGAAGAUGACGGUACCUGGGGAGGAAGCGCCGGCGAACUACGUGCCAGCAGCCGCGGUAAGACGGAGGGAGCGAGCGUUGUCCGGAAUUACUGGGGGUAAAGGGAGCGGAGGCGGGACUGCAAGUUGGGUGUCAAAUCUACCGGCUCAACCGGUAGCCGCACUCCAAACUGCCGUUCUUGAGGGAAGUAGAGGCAGGCUGAAUUCCUAGUGUAGCGGUGAAAUGCGUCGAUCUUAGGAGGAACACCAGUGGCGCAGGCGGCCUGCUGGGCUUUUACUGACGCUGCGGCUCGAAAGUGUGGGGAGCAAACAGGAUUAGAUACCCGAGUAGUC
rnacentral:rRNA from 1 species